rnacentral:lncRNA from 1 species
AGUUUUAAGUUAACUUCUGUUCUCAGAUAUGAAAUGUGUUCUCUUCACAGUCCUCAGAUUCUCAGCUGUUGACUGCAGAGGAGAGGAACCAAAUUCUACUUGACCUUAAGAAAGCAGGAUGGUCAGAAUUAAGUGAGAGAGAUGCCAUCUACAAAGAAUUCUCCUUCAAAAAUUUUAAUCAGUCAUCCACUGGACUUGGAAGCAAAUGUAUCCUUUUGUUUCUGAAGAUACCAGUUGAUGUUCCCAAGAAAACAGAAAUCAUGGAGUUGUUGGAAUGAGGCUCCCUUAUCAUGUAGCCAUCUUCAAAAUCCUGUGUUUUAGCUGGGAGCUCAUCUGUCUAGUGACCAAAGACAUAACCUUAGAAGGUUGGUUUUGAAAACAGAAAUAAAAGUUAUUUUAGAAGACCUGCUUAUUUUUAGAGAGAAACAUUUAUUUCCCCACAACCCAGAAGAGAGUUAAAUCCUAAAAUAAUUAUUGAAGCACCC